rnacentral:rRNA from 1 species
UACGGAGGGGACUAGCGUUGUUCGGAAUUACUGGGCGUAAAGCGUGCGCAGGCGGUGAUGUAAGACAGAUGUGAAAUCCCCGGGCUCAACCUGGGAACUGCAUUUGUGACUGCAUCGCUGGAGUGCGGCAGAGGGGGAUGGAAUUCCGCGUGUAGCAGUGAAAUGCGUAGAUAUGCGGAGGAACACCGAUGGCGAAGGCAAUCCCCUGGGCCUGCACUGACGCUCAUGCACGAAAGCGUGGGGAGCAAACAGG